CAAGGGGAGGGGGAGACACUAUGGGACAAGGGGAGGGGGAGACACUAUGGGACAAGGGCAGGGGGGGACACUAUGGGAGGGAAAGUGCACUAUGGGACAAUCGGAGGGGGGGACACUAUGGGAUCAGAACACUAAUGGACAAGGGGAGGAGGGGUUAAAGAACACUAUGGGACAGGGUAGGAGGGGUUAACAAUCACUAUGGGACAGGGUAGGAGGGGUUAACAAUCACUAUGGGACAGAGGAAAGGGGGGUUAAAGAUCAUUAUGGGACAGGGGAGAAAAAAAAA